rnacentral:lncRNA from 1 species
GUACACACACACAGAUGCUAUGGAUACAUGCACACAUGUGCACACACAAAUAUGUAUACAUGGUUUACCAUUAUUUUCUAGAUCAUUCAGAGGUCAGUAUUAAUUAAAACAUCAUAGAUCUAUGGCAAAUUUUGGGCCACUUCUCCUAAGACAGGAAUUUAAAAAGCCUUCAAUUGUCAUAACAAUGGGAAGAAGUCUGAGAGCUGGAGUAAGGGAAGUUGGUGCUCAGAAAUAUUAACUACCAUUUAUAUAGGAUAUCCUUAUGAGAUAAUCUUAAAGACAAAUGAGGCUAAAAUAGUAAUACGAGUUAUUUAGCCAAGUUUUCCAGCAGGAAGAAGGAAAUAAGCAGUGAACUAAAAAGCAUACAAGAUACAGAGGAGCAGGUUAAUUGAAGCCAUUGCAGCAGAAAUUGAGAAGAAUAAACAGGAGUUAGAAGAUGAGAGCAAGCAAUUGCAAGUGGAGUGGGCUGAGCUGGAAUUAUGGUGUAGAAAAUGACUGGUUGAGAAAAACCCAAACAAAUAUUUCUAUAAUGUCAUGUGCAUAAGAUACCUGUAGAUGUUAUCAAGGUAUAUACAUAAACUACCUGUCAU